rnacentral:misc_RNA from 1 species
GAAUUCCCUUGCAUAAAACAUCAACAGGGCAAAAACCUUGAUUAAUGGUGCAUCACCCACCCUAACCCCUGUUUGGAUUUAGUGGGCUUAAGCCUAAAGGAAGAGAGUGGGCUUUACCACGAUGGAGUGAUCUCAAUCUUUGUGCCGGUCUCCUAGGCGAGAAGACCGGGAUCAGAAGGCCCUACUCUCUCUGAACUGCUUUGGUUAUCCUUUUUCUUCUCCAAUCAAAUCUCUACAAUUUCACUGCUACCUUCUGCUUCAGCUCUUUGCUUAAUUUCAUGGAUUUCUUCAUGCCCAACAUAUAAAAACUCUUUCGAGUUUGCAUAAUAAAUUUCCCAAAGAAAAAGCUGCACUCAAACGAUAGGCCAACAGAGCGCCAGAGCCAGAGGGAGAGUGGUUUUGCGUUGCCUCUGCAACUGUUUGAUUGACACUCACGAUGGAUAGGUACCAGAGGAUCGAGAAGCCUAAGGCGGAUACGCCAAUAAAUGAGAAUGAGAUUCGCAUUACCACUCAGGGUAGGAUGAGAAAUUAUAUUACCUAUGCCACCACUCUCCUCCAGGUAAUCCCCUCUCUUUUUUGGGUUUAUUCCUUGCUUAUUGUGAUGUGUUUUCGACAAGUUAAGUGACAAUUUUGAUGGAAGAUUUUAAAGUUUCCUUGAGUAUGUUGAUCCUCAAAUAGAACUGCAGCAAUUGCUCUACAUAUACCCAUCUUUAGUUUUUGUGAUUACAGAAUUGACAGAAUUGUGUUUGAUGAAUAGCUUGUGUAGUGGUUUUCUCAUAUAAAAGACAAGAAGUGAAAGAAGGUUUGUUCUGAAAUGGAAUCUAUAGCAGAAUGCGAUUUGAAAUGGCCUUUGAAGUUUUGCAGUUGCAUAUAUUGGAGUUCUUUUUUUUUUAGUCACCAUAGUUGAAUUAGACUGCUAAUUAUGAUUCAUAGUUCGUCGAUGUUGCUUCUUGUUCCGCAUUAGAGGUUAAUGUAACUCUUUUUUUCAGUUACUCUGUUUAACCUUUUUCCUCUAUUUUUUCUCCUUAAUUUCUUUGGGGGUGUGUGUAUACAGGAGAAAGGGUCUAAUGAAAUCAUUCUUAAAGCCAUGGGCAGAGCUAUAAAUAAGACAGUAAUGAUUGCAGAGUUAAUCAAGAGAAGAAUUGUU